GAGGUGGAUUGAGUGGCCGCCUCGUGCCUCACGGCACGUGGAGGAAAGUCCGAGCUCCAAAGAGCAGCGUAGCGGGUAACGCCCGCCAGCCGAGAGGCCAGGAUCAGAGCAGCAGAGACUACGACUCAUCCGCCUUCGCACUUCAGAAUAUGAUAGACUUAAGCGCUACGUCGGACAGGCCCCAGCAGAAAGGGCUUGCCCGCCGUAGCUGUCAAGUUUAUUUUAAGCUGUACAGCGAAGGCGGGAAGAGGGUGAAAAGAGGCAAUCUCUACGCGGAGCAAGACCAAAUAGGUCCCGAACCAGAAAUUGCUCGUUUCUUCCGAUAAAUUCGUCGGAGUCGGGACGGGUUGGGUCGCAUGAGUCCGAUGGCAACAUCGGUCCCAGAUGGAUGGUCACUAUGGGCGGCAACGUCCAUACAGAACUCGGCUUACAGAUCCACCUCUCUC
rnacentral:RNase_P_RNA from 1 species